rnacentral:rRNA from 1 species
UACGUAGGGGGCAAGCGUUGUUCGGAAUUACUGGGCGUAAAGGGCGCGUAGGCGGCACGGUAAGUCGGGAGUGAAAGCCCGGGGCUCAACCCCGGAACGUCUUUCGAAACUGCCGAGCUAGAGUGCGGAAGAGGCAACUGGAAUUCCCAGUGGUAGCGGUGAAAUGCGUAGAUAUUGGGAAGAACACCUGAGGCGAAGGCGGGUUGCUGGGCCGACACUGACGCUGAUGCGCGAAAGCCAGGGGAGCGAACGGG